GGUGUCAGAUUGUAUGGGAUAUGAUGAGAAAAUUUUCCAAAUAAGAUUUUGAUUUGUUAAUAGUAGCGGUCUAUAAAUGAAAGUGUAAGCAUUCCACCUCAUGACUAAAGCGGCAACGCCCAAAUUGAAAUCAUUAGACCGUUUCUGAAACCAGUAGUGAAGUAUGUUAUUUAAUUCGAUGACCCGCGAAUAACCUUACCACGUUUUGAAUUUUUAAACAAGUGUUGCACGGCUGUCUUCAGUUAAUGUCGUGAGAUUUUGGUUUGUUCCAUUAAUUAACGAAAACCCUUGUUUCAUUUUUAUAUGAAAUAGUUCCCCGCUAUAUUGGAAAGAUAAGAGGGAUCAAGACAAGUCAUCAUGGCCUUAAUAACGUG
rnacentral:rRNA from 1 species